rnacentral:rRNA from 1 species
UACGUAGGUGGCGAGCGUUGUCCGGAUUUACUGGGCGUAAAGAGCGCGCAGGCGGCUGGGCAAGUCCGAUGUGAAAGCUUCCGGCUUAACUGGAAAAUUGACAUCGGAAACUGCUCGGCUUGAAGGUGGGAGAGGGUAGCGGAAUUCCCGGUGUAGUGGUGAAAUGCGUAGAUAUCGGGAGGAACACCAGUGGCGAAGGCGGCUACCUGGCCCACUCUUGACGCUGAGGCGCGAAAGCUAGGGGAGCAAACGGG